rnacentral:rRNA from 1 species
GCAUAUAACUAGGCGGAGGAAAAGAAAUUAACGAAGAUUUCCCUAGUAACGGCGAGUGAAAAGGAAAUAGUUCAGCGCNUGAAUCCUUUAGCCUCUGGUUAAAGGACCUGUAGCGUGAAGGAGAGCCUAUUUAGUAGGGUUUAUGCUUCGGAAGCUCCCUUGAACGGGACCCCAAAGCAGGUGCGAGGCCUGUAACGAGGUUAUACCCGCUAAUUUGAGCCUCCGUAGAGUCGGGUUGCUUGAGAGUGCAGCCCUAAGCGGAAGGUAAACCCCUUCUAAAGCUAAAUAUGACCACAAGACCGAUAGCGAACAAGUACCGCGAGGGAAAGUUGAAAAGAACUUUGAAGAGAGAGUUCAAGAGGGCGUGAAACCGCUUAGAAUAAAACGGACGGAGCCGUCAGGAGCCUUCGGGACUCAGUCGUCUGUAUGGCGAAAACGUAGCGUUCGGGAGAACGUAAAGUCUUUGGCGUUGCGUUAGUAGUCGAUAGUCGACGCAUUUCUCGAGGGCAAGCAUCGCAACCGAUACGAAAGGCUAGCGAGGCGAUUGGGUUGAGGUCUAGUUCCUUCGGGAGCUAGUUUCCAGCCUUUUCGCGCGAGUCGUUAGACCGCAGUAUGUAUCGAGCGUCUAAAAACGUAUACGUCGGCUAAAAAGCUCGUCGUGCGAUGGAUAGUCGGUUAAUUAGUUGGUUACUUGCUCGCAGGUGCCGACGAGUUUGGCUGUCUCAGAAGUCGCCGGCGACAUAGACGUAUUGGCGUUAGCGAUGUCAGUGUCGGUCGCCCGUCCGACCCGUCUUGAAACACGGACCAAGGAGUCUAGCAUAUGCGCGAGCUAAUAGGUGUAAAACCUAUAGGCGCAAUAAAAGUAAACGCUGUUUCGGACAGCUGAGGUACGAUCCUAGAUUCGCUCUAGGCGCAGUACCGUCUCAUCCCUAAGGCACGUCCUAAGGGUGAAGAUAGAGUGCAUACGUUGGGACCCGAAAGAUGGUGAACUAUGCCUGAGCAGAGCGAAGCCAGAGGAAACUCUGGUGGAGGUUCGUAGCGGUUCUGACGUGCAAAUCGAUCGUCAGACUUGGGUAUAGGGGCGAAAGACUAAUCGAACCAUC